UUUUGCUGUGCGGUGCCAUAACGUCCAGCUGCUGGUGUCUAGUUGUCUACUUCCACUGUCAAACAACUAGCUAGUACAUACUAACACAAUGGAUUUCAACGUGAAGAAAUUAGCCUGCGGUGCAGGAGUGUUUUUCACGCGAGCUGUCCAGUUCACAGAGGAGAAGUUGGGCCAGGCGGAGAAGACUGAGCUGGACGCUCACUUUGAAAACCUGAUGAGCCGCGCAGACUGCACCAAACUUUGGACUGAGAAAAUCUACAGACAGACUGAGGUCCUGCUGCAGCCCAACCCAAGUAUGCUAUAUAUUACAGUCCUAUCAUUAGAUGUGGAAAGAGUAUUCUACAGUUACAUUUCAAAUUGUUUUCAAGCAGUUCUGCUACCAUGCUGAUGUUUUCUAUAAUUUUAUAAUAGGUGACUGAUGAUAAAAGCAUCAUAAAGGAAAUAUCAGCUCAUGCAUAAUAAACCUUAAGCCAGUGUUGGGAAGGUUACUUUUGAAAUGUAUUAGAUUACAGAUUUAAAAUUACCCUGUCAAAAAUGUAAUCAAUAAAGUACCUAUUUUAAUGACUUCAUCAUGAAAUGUAA